rnacentral:rRNA from 1 species
GAUGAACGCUGGCGGCGUGCCUAAUACAUGCAAGUCGAGCGAACAGAUGAGGAGCUUGCUCCUCUGACGUUAGCGGCGGACGGGUGAGUAACACGUGGAUAACCUACCUAUAAGACUGGGAUAACUUCGGGAAACCGGAGCUAAUACCGGAUAAUAUAUUGAACCGCAUGGUUCAAUAGUGAAAGACGGUUUUGCUGUCACUUAUAGAUGGAUCCGCGCCGCAUUAGCUAGUUGGUAAGGUAACGGCUUACCAAGGCAACGAUGCGUAGCCGACCUGAGAGGGUGAUCGGCCACACUGAAACUGAGACACGGUCCAGACUCCUACGGGAGGCAGCAGUAGGGAAUCUUCCGCAAUGGGCGAAAGCCUGACGGAGCAACGCCGCGUGAGUGAUGAAGGUCUUCGGAUCGUAAAACUCUGUUAUUAGGGAAGAACAAAUGUGUAAGUAACUAUGCACGUCUUGACGGUACCUAAUCAGAAAGCCACGGCUAACUACGUG